GUACUUCGGUACAUCGGUGACAGGUGGUGCAUGGUUGUCGUCAGCUCGUGUCGUGAGAUGUGGGUUAAGUCCCGCAACGAGCGCAACCCCUAUUGUUAGUUGCCAUCAUUCAGUUGGGCACUCUAGCGAGACUGCCGGUAAUAAAACCGGAGGAAGGUGGGGAUGACGUCAAAUCAUCAUGCCCCUUAUGACCUGGGCUACACACGUGCUACAAUGGUUGGUACAACGAGUUGCGAGUCGGUGACGGCGAGCUAAUCUCUUAAAGCCAAUCUCAGUUCGGAUUGUAGGCUGCAACUCGCCUACAUGAAGUCGGAAUCGCUAGUAAUCGCGGAUCAGCACGCCGCGGUGAAUACGUUCCCGGGCCUU
rnacentral:rRNA from 1 species